UACGUAGGGGGCGAGCGUUGUCCGGAUUUAUUGGGCGUAAAGAGCGUGUAGGCGGCCAGGUAGGUCUGCUGUGAAAACUCGAGGCUCAACCUCGAGACGUCGGCGGAAACCAUCUGGCUAGAGUCCGGAAGAGGAGAGUGGAAUUCCUGGUGUAGCGGUGAAAUGCGCAGAUAUUCGGAGGAACACCAGUGGCGAAGGCGGCUCACUGGUCCGGUACUGACGCUGAGGUGCGAAAGCGUGGGGAGCAACAGGG
rnacentral:rRNA from 1 species